UACGAAGGGGGCUAGCGUUGUUCGGAAUUACGUGGGCGUAAAGCGCACGUAGGCGGAUAUUUAAGUCAGGGGUGAAAUCCCAGAGCUCCAACUCUGGAACUGCCUUUGAUACUGGGUAUCUUGAGUAUGGAAGAGGUAAGUGGAAUUGCGAGUGUAGAGGUGAAAUUCGUAGAUAUUCGCAGGAACACCAGUGGCGAAGGCGGCUUACUGG
rnacentral:rRNA from 1 species